GACCCAAUGGUCAAAUCAGGAAAGACAUAACAUUUUCACUGUUAGUAUGAGAGUUCAAAUCUCUCUUGGGUUA
rfam:Paracoccidioides brasiliensis strain Pb18 mitochondrion, complete genome.